GACGAACGCUGGCGGCGUGCUUAACACAUGCAAGUCGAACGGUAAGGCCUCUUCGGGGGUACACGAGUGGCGAACGGGUGAGUAACACGUGAGUAACCUGCCCUUGACUUUGGGAUAACAUCUGGAAACAGGUGCUAAUACCGGAUAUGAGCUUGUCCUGCAUGGGAUGGGUUGGAAAGCUCCGGCGGUCAUGGAUGGACUCGCGGCCUAUCAGCUUGUUGGUGAGGUAGUGGCUCACCAAGGCUUCGACGGGUAGCCGGCCUGAGAGGGCGACCGGCCACAGUGGGACUGAGAUACGGCCCAAACUCCUACGGGAGGCAGCAGUGGGGAAUAUUGCACAAUGGGCGGAAGCCUGAUGCAGCAACGCCGCGUGCGGGAUGACGGCCUUCGGGUUGUAAACCGCUUUCAGCAGGGACGAAGCUUUUGUGACGGUACCUGCAGAAGAAGCACCGGCUAACUACGUGCCAGCCGCCGCGGUAAUAC
rnacentral:rRNA from 1 species